AUUUAUAUAGCUUAUGUAGAGCGUAGUAUUGAAGAUACUGAGGAAACUGAUAGUUUAUAAAUA
rnacentral:tRNA from 1 species